ACGAAGGGUGCAAGCGUUACUCGGAAUUACUGGGCGUAAAGCGUGCGUAGGUGGUGGUUUAAGUCUGCUGUGAAAGCCCUGGGCUCAACCUGGGAAUUGCAGUGGAUACUGGAUCACUAGAGUGUGGUAGAGGGAUGCGGAAUUUCUGGUGUAGCAGUGAAAUGCGUAGAGAUCAGAAGGAACAUCCGUGGCGAAGGCGGCAUCCUGGGCCAACACUGACACUGAGGCACGAAAGCGUGGGGAGCAAACAG
rnacentral:rRNA from 2 species